rnacentral:rRNA from 1 species
CCUAGAACUAAUCUAAGGUGUAACCUGCCCAAUGGUUUUAAUCUAAUAAAUAUAAUCAUUUAAAACUAAACUUAAAGGACGCAGUAACCUGACUGUGAUAAUGUAGCAUAAUCAUUUGCCAUUUAAUUGAUGGAUAGUAUGAACGGUCUAACGAAUUCUUCACUCUCUUAAAAAAAGAAGCCAUGAAAUUAAAAUAAUAGUUAAGAUGCUAUUUAAAAUUGUUAGACGAAAAGACCCUAUAGAGCUUAACUAUAUUUUUCUUAAAAAUCAAGAAUAAAAUAUUCUAAAAUAGGAAGAAAGGUAGUUUAGUUGGGGCGACUAUUUUCUAAAAAAAACGAAAACAAGCAAUAUUAAUAAAUAAUUUAUUGUAUAAUAAAUACAUUUAACAAUUACAAGAGUAGGCUAUAAUGACCCGUUAUUAUUAAGUGAAAUACAUAACGAUCAAUAAAUAAAAGCUACCUUAGGGAUAACAGGAUAAUUUUGUUCUAAAGAUCUUAUUGAAAACAAAGUUUGUCACCUCUAUGUUGAAUUAAGAUAUCCUGAUAGUGCAGAAGCUAUCAAAGGUAGGUCUGUUCGACCUUUAAAAU